UCGAGAAUCAUUCGCAAUGGGCGAAAGCCUGACGGUGCGACGUCGCGUGGAGGAUGAAGGUCUUCGGAUUGUAAACUCCUGUCAUGUGGGAUAAAUGGCCAGGGCAAUAAUACUGCCUUGGAAUGAUAGUACCACAGGAGGAAGAGACGGCUAACUCUGUGCCAGCAGCCGCGGUAAUACAGAGGUCUCGAGCGUUGUUCGGAUUUACUGGGCGUAAAGGGAGCGUAGGCGGUUUGGUGUGUCGAAUGUGAAAUCCCACAACUCAACUGUGGAAUGGCAUUCGAAACUACCAAGCUAGAGUACUGGAGAGGAGAGCGGAAUUCUUGGUGUAGCGGUGAAAUGCGUAGAUAUCAAGAGGAACACCGGUGGCGAAGGCGGCUCUCUGGACAGAUACUGACGCUGAGGCUCUAAAGUUAGGGGAGCAAACA
rnacentral:rRNA from 1 species